AUGGCAUUGUUAUAAGUUAAAACAAAUGUUUCAUAGGUGUCUGACUAGAACAUGAAGAAACUAUGACUGUUGCCUUAUGCUGACAAACUGUGUGGAUGUUACUCUGGUGAAGAACACAGAAAGCUAUCCAUUGCUAUCUCUUACUCAUAGGGAAUCCACAGAUCAUAUUCCUGGAUGAGCCCACUACUGUAAUGGAGUUCAAGGCUCAGAGAUUCUUAUGGAGUUUUACAUGGAGAGAGAUCCAUCUGCACGAACUUCUGCCCAAUCUACAACACUAAACACCUCCAGAUCUCCUCAAACUGUUACUGUGACACUAAUUUCCAAAAAAUGUCCUCCAGGUAAUACAUGUAUACAGAUAUUCAACUUUAACUUUUUAAAA